GAUGAACGCUGGCGGCGUGCCUAACACAUGCAAGUCGAGCGAACAGACGAGGAGCUUGCUGCUCUGACGUGAGCGGCGGACGGGUGAGUAGCACGUGAAUAACCUACCUAUACGAGUGGGAUAACGGCGGGAAACCGGAGUUAAUACCGGGUAAUAUAUUGAACCGCAUGGGUCGAUAGUGAAAGACGGUGUUGGUGUCACUUAUAGAUGGAUCCGCGCCGCAUUAGCUAGUUGGUAAGGUAACGGCUUACGAAGGCCAGGAUGCGCAGGCGAGCUGAGAGAGUGAUCGGCGACACUAGAGCGGAGACGCCGUCCAGACUCCUGCGAGAGGCAGCAGUAGGGAAUCUUCCGCAGUAGGCGAGAGCUUGGCGGAGCAGCGCCACGUGAGUGAUGAAGGUCUUCCGAUCGUGAUACUCUGUUAUUAGUGGAGAACAAAUGUCUAAGUAACUAUACACGUCGUGACGGUACCUAAUCAGAAAGCCACGGCUAACUACGUG
rnacentral:rRNA from 1 species